GUGUGUGAGUGAAUGCUGGAUGAUGGGUGUGUGAGUGAGUGCUGGAUGAUGGGUGUGUGAGUGAGUGCUGGAUGAUGGGUGUGUGAGUGAGUGCUGGAUGAUGGGUGUGUGAGUGCUGGAUGAUGUGUGUGUGAGUGCUGGAUGAUGGGUGUGUGAGUGCUGGAUGAUGGGUGUGCUAGAUGAUGUGUCUGUGUGUGCUGGAUGAUGUGUGUGUGUGUGCUGGAUGAUGUGUGUGUGAGUGCUGGAUGAUGGGUGUGUGUGUGAGUGCUGGAUGAUGGGUGUGUGAGUGCGUGCUGGAUGAUGGGUGUGUGUGUGCUGGAUGAUGGGUGUGUGAGUG